GAUGAACGCUGGCGGCGUGCCUAAUACUUGCAAGUCGAGCGAACAGACGAGGAGCUUGCUCCUCUGACGUUAGCGGCGGACGGGUGAGUAACACGUGGAUAACCUACCUAUAAGACUGGGAUAACUUCGGGAAACCGGAGCUAAUACCGGAUAAUAUAUUGAACCGCAUGGUUCAAUAGUGAAAGACGGUUUUGCUGUCACUUAUAGAUGGAUCCGCGCCGCAUUAGCUAGUUGGUAAGGUAACGGCUUACCAAGGCAACGAUGCGUAGCCGACCUGAGAGGGUGAUCGGCCACACUGGAACUGAGACACGGUCCAGACUCCUACGGGAGGCAGCAGUAGGGAAUCUUCCGCAAUGGGCGAAAGCUCGACGGAGCAACGCCGCGUGAGUGAUGAAGGUCUUCGGAUCGUAAAACUCUGUUAUUAGGGAAGAACAAAUGUGUAAGUAACUAUGCACGUCUUGACGGUACCUAAUCAGAAAGCCACGGCUAACUACGUG
rnacentral:rRNA from 1 species